AUCCUUUAGUUCAUAAGAGGGAUGGUCAAGUGUUAACACCAUUGUGUGCUAUGUUAAACCCUUGAACCUUGUUAUAGCAAUUAAUUGUCCUUCUGAUG